UACAGAGGUGGCAAGCGUUGUUCGGAAUUACUGGGCGUAAAGCGCAUGUAGGCGGUUGGGUAAGUGGCGUGUGAAAGCUCCCGGCUAAACUGGGAGAGGACAGGUCAGACUGCCGAACUCGAGUCCGAUAGAGGGGCGUAGAAUUCCGGGUGUAGCGGUGAAAUGUGUAGAGAUCCGGAGGAAUACCAGUGGCGCAAGCGGCGCCCUGGGUCGGUACUGACGCUGAGAUGCGAAAGCGUGGGGAGCGAACGGG
rnacentral:rRNA from 1 species